rnacentral:rRNA from 1 species
UACGUAGGGGCUAGCGUUAUCCGGAAUUACUGGGCGUAAAGGGUGCGUAGGUGGUUUCUUAAGUCAGAGGUGAAAGGCUACGGCUCAACCGUAGUAAGCCUUUGAAACUGGGAAACUUGAGUGCAGGAGAGGAGAGUGGAAUUCCUAGUGUAGCGGUGAAAUGCGUAGAUAUUAGGAGGAACACCAGUUGCGAAGGCGGCUCUCUGGACUGUAACUGACAUUGAGGCACGAAAGCGUGGGGAGCAAACAGGAUUAGAUACCCGCGUAGUCCCUGAGCGGG